rnacentral:rRNA from 1 species
CGCAGUCGAGCUUACAGAUGGCAGCUAGCUCGCUGAUGAUAGCGGCGGACGGGUGAGUAACACGUAGGUAACCUGCUUGUAAGACUGGGAUAACUCCGGGAAACCGGGGCUAAUACCUAAUGCUUGUUUGAACCGCAUGGUUCAAACAUAAAAGGUGGCUUCGGCUACCACUUACAGAUGGAUUCGCGGCGCAUUAGCUAGUUGGUGAGGUAACGGCUCACCAAGGCAACGAUGCGUAGCCGACCUGAGAGGGUGAUCGGCCACACUGGGACUGAGACACGGCGCAGACUCCUACGACAGUCAGCAGUAGGGAAUCUUCCGCAAUGGACGAAAGUCUGACGGAGCAACGCCGCGUGAGUGAUGAAGGUUUUCGGAUCGUAAAGCUCUGUUGUUAGGGAAGAACAAGUGCCGUUCAAAUAGGGCGGCACCUUGACGGUACCUAACCAGAAAGCCACGGCUAACUACGUGACAGCAGCCGCGGUAAUACGUAGGUGGCAAGCGUUGUCCGGAAUUAUUGGGCGUAAAGGGCUCGCAGGCGGUUUCUUAAGUCUGAUGUGAAAGCCCCCGGCUCAACCGGGGAGGGUCAUUGGAAACUGGGGAACUUGAGUGCAGAAGAGGAGAGUGGAAUUCCACGUGUAGCGGUGAAAUGCGUAGAGAUGUGGAGGAACACCAGUGACGAAGGCGACUCUCUGGUCUGUAACUGACGCUGAGGAGCGAAAGCGUGGGGAGCGAACAGGAUUAGAUACCCUGGUAGUCCACGCCGUAAACGAUGAGUGCUAAGUGUUAGGCCGUUUCCGCCCCUUAGUGCUGCAGCUAACGCAUUAAGCACUCCGCCUGGGGAGUACGGUCGCAAGACUGAAACUCAAAGGAAUUGACGGGGGCCCGCACAAGCGGUGGAGCAUGUGGUUAAAUUCGAAGCAACGCGGAGUACCUUACCAGGUCUUGAGCUCCUCCUGACAUUCCUAGAAGUAAGGACGUCCCCUUCGGGGGCGC